UACGAACUGUGCGAACGUUAUUCGGAAUCACUGGGCUUACAGGGUGCGUAGGCGGCUUGUUAAGCAGGGUGUGAAAUCCUCCGGCUCAACCGGAGAACAGCGCUCUGGACUGGCGAGCUUGAGUGUGCUAGGGGUGUGUGGAACUUCCAGUGGAGCGGUGAAAUGUGUUGAUAUUGGAAGGAACACCGGUGGCGAAAGCGACACACUGGGGCAUAACUGACGCUGAGGCACGAAAGCCAGGGGAGCGAACGGG
rnacentral:rRNA from 1 species